GACAAUCUUUUUGCAUAUGACCCCGCUGACCAUACCCAUAGCAUACACCUUUGCCAUAACGACACUCUCCUAGGUGAUUCUUUCCAUAAAUAGUACAAAUAGGAUAUGAGGGAACCCACUGACUUCCACCUUUCUGUUACUGAGAACCUUGAAUCUUGAAAUUUUAAUUUGUCUGAACACGCUGGUCGAUCCUAGGCUUUGGUGCUGGCGCACUAGCUGAAGACGAGGCAGGUCCAGAUGACCUUUUGUGAAAGAAAACUUUGUUCCCAUUUCCUGACCGUUGUUGAGUAGACUUAUUACCUGCUGACUUGGCACUCUUAUUCAGAAAUUCCUCUCUAUCUUUUUGUUUUUCCUCCUCAACCUGUUGAGCAUACACUAUCAACCNNNNNNNNNNNNNNNNNNNNNNNNNNNNNNNNNNNNNNNNNNNNNNNUACAUGUUUUGCAAGUCCGGAUAUAAAUUUUAGCAUCUUAGCCCUCAUUGUAGAUACUAGCUCUGGAGCAUAUCGAGAAAAUUUAGUGAACUUGAGACCAUAAUCCUUCACACUCAUAUUUUCCUACUUUAAAUUCAUAAACUCUUAUACCUUGGCCUCCCUUAGCAUUUGUGGAAAAAAAUGAUCAAAGAAAGAAUCUAUAAUAUCAUCCCAUACUGCAGGAGGUGCAUUUUCACCACGAACAAGCUCCCACUGACCAUAUCGAAUUCUAGCAACAUCUUUCAACUAGUAGGAUACAAGCUUGACUCCCUCUAUGUCACUAACAUGCAUAAACCUUAAGAUCUUUUCAACUUCGUCAAUAAAAUUUUAGGGAUCCUCGUCGACCUUGGAUCCUGUAAACGUAGGUGGAUUCAUCUUGAGGAACGCUUGGAUCCUAGAAAUAUUGGAAGAGUCAUGAGAGUUGGAGCUAGUAGGACUCGAACGACUGGACUGAGAUACUACAACUUGCGUGAGCAUCUGAAUAGCCUGUCUAAAUUCGCCAUUAGUAGCAUCAAUGUGAGGAGGUUGCAUAGAGAAUGGCCUAGAUCUCCUUACUAUAGUAGGUGCCAUAGGAGAUGCAUCAAUAGUAACAUUCUUCCUAGAAGUACGAGCUCCAUUUUUGGUAUGCAUCACAUGAGUCGAGGGCAUAUUGCUAGUGUUGUCAUCGGAAAAACCCCCAGUAUUAGUAGUGGCCCGCGGCUGGUAGGUCUUU
rnacentral:lncRNA from 1 species